rnacentral:rRNA from 1 species
UACGGAGGGUGCAAGCGUUGCUCGGAAUCACUGGGCGUAAAGCGUCCGCAGGCGGCUUGGCAAGUCGGGUGUGAAAGCCCGGGGCUCAACCUCGGAACUGCAUUCGAAACUGCCUGGCUUGAGUACCGGAGAGGGAGGCGGAAUUCCUGGUGUAGGGGUGAAAUCCGUAGAUAUCGGGAGGAACACCAGUGGCGAAGGCGGCAACCUGGACGGAUACUGACGCUGAGACGCGAAAGCGUGGGGAGCAAACAGG